rnacentral:misc_RNA from 1 species
AAGUCGUAACAAGGUAACCGUAGGUGAACCUGCGGUUGGAUCAUUAUUGAUAGUUGAUUGAGGGUUUUGAGGUUAAAGUUUUUGACUUGACUUUAAAACUUUUUAAUUAAACCAAAUUUGUUAACAUCAAAGUCUUUAAUGGGUUAAAACAAAAAUGAAUGUACUUUUAUUUUUGAACUCAAUUCAGAGUGACCCAUUACUUUUAUUUAAACCAAUUGUAUCUUUAAAGUCAUUUAUUUUUAAACAAAAUUAAAAACAACUUUUGACAACGGAUCUCUUGGCUCUC